CAUAGCGACUAUCGUGGCAUAUCAAUAAGCGGAGGAAAAGAAACUAACUAGGAUUCCCUUAGUAACGGCGAGUGAAGCGGGAAGAGCUCAAAUUUGAAAUCUUCAAGGUUUUACCUUGACGAAUUGUAGUUUAAAGAAGUGUUUUCUGUUGGAGUUUUGGUAAAAGUUCUUUGGAAUAGGACAUCAUAGAGGGUGAGAAUCCCGUAUUUGACCAUUACUUUCCAGCUGUGUGAUACACUUUCAAAGAGUCGGAUUGUUUGGGAAUGCAGUCCAAAAUGGGUGGUAAAUUUCAUCUAAAGCUAAAUAUUGGCGAGAGACUGAUAGCGAACAAGUACCGUGAGGGAAAGAUGAAAAGAACUUUGAAAAGAGAGUUAAACAGUACGUGAAAUUGUCAAAAGGGAAGCGUUUGACACCAGUGUUGUUUAGUUGAAAAUCAAUUCAAUAAUUUUUGAUUUUAAGUAGUAUUGACUUCAUCAGCUUGCUGCUUUCUUUUCAGGAAUUAUUGAAUGCACUUUUCAGUUAACAAGUCAACAUCAAUUUCUUUUGUUGUAAAAGGGUAAGAGGAAGGUGGCUUACGCUUCGGCGUAAGUGUUUAUAGCCUUUUACCUCUGCAAUCGGAGAGAUUGAGGACAGCAGCGUAGACUCUUCGGGGUUAGAUACACUUGUGCUAAGUUAUAGCUUUUUAUAGACAACAUGUUGACUAUAUUUAGUCUUGUAACUUACUCGCUUAUGUAAUUUUACCUACGCUUAGGAUGUUGACGAGACUGUCGAUCUC
rnacentral:rRNA from 1 species